rnacentral:pre_miRNA from 1 species
AGGAAUAGACAACUACUAUUUGUUAAUUAAAUAAAGAGAAAUGACACUAUAAGACCCUCCCACACCCAUGUGAGUAGGACCCCAAAGGAUCACCAUUAAAUUUGGCACAGAUCUCUAGAAAAGUUAUCACAUGGGUGUGGGACUUGACUUUUCUAGAGAUCUGUGCCAAAUUUGAUGGUGAUCAUUUGGGGUCCUACUCCCAUGGGUGUGGGAGGGUCUCAUAGGGUCAUUACUCUUAAAUAAAUUUACUAAAUAAAUAAUUAAAUUAUUAUUGCU